rnacentral:lncRNA from 15 species
AAAAUAGUGACUGUCCACUUGGAUAACCAGGAAAUGGACAGAGGAGAGACUGAUUCAAGUUGCAAAAUAUAUGAAAACAUUUUAACCAAAGAAUCAACAUAACAGAGCUGUGUAAUAUUUGGAUGUUCUUUACAUACUGAGAGUGUAGCUGCUGAUGGUAGCUGGCCUUCAGUUCUUUAAGAUAUCUAACAUUAUUACAAUUUGUGUGUUAAUGUUUUUGUGUAAUAUAUUUGAUAUGGGGCUCUUCAUGUGAACACGACCCUGGAACAGUUAGCAUAGCACAUGAUGUACAACUCUCACCAAGCACAAUGACCAGAGCAAGCAGUGGUUGAUAGUGUUUGGACUCUCAGUGGAUUCAGCUCAAACUGUAGUCUGAAAACACAACCUGGUGUUUGAUGGUCUAUAACCUUACUAAUGAUUACGCAUAUAACAUGAGAAGUUUUUCAGGACAAUUUUGUGUCUUUGAAUUUCACCAAACCAGACACUUAAGUUGUUUUAAAGUCACUAAAAUAUUACCAGCCUGAAUGUUUCUGUCUGUAUUUAUUCAUUUGCUGCUGUUUUACCUUUUAGAGUUUUAAUAUGAAAGCUGAAGCUCCUGUUGCAGCACUUCUUUUACAGGAAAGUUCACACCAGCUUGUAGCUGUGAGAGUUUGAGGUUUAUGUUACAGAGAAGAGAGCAAAGAGGUCUGUGUGUCUUCCUUCAGUACAGGAUGUCGUACACCGCCAGCACAGAGUUGCACUUUUGUUUAGAUGUCUCGACCAAUAUGGAUAGAUGGAAACUGUGGUUCGUUGUCCUUCUGAUGCUAGCUUUCUAUAUUGACAGCACAGAAACUCUUGUGAAGCUCGUGAAAACCAUUGGGAGCAAACCAUAUAUCGCUCCAAUAUGCCCCAAUGAAACACUGCAUAUCGUCAUACUUGUAGUUUGUAAGAUCAGAACAGAAAUGAGGGGAGAAGAGUGUCGUCUGCUGUAUCAACAUGGACAAGACUUUGAGCAAGACUGUGACUCCAGAUUCACACUUACGACGGAUAAUCGGACUCUGUUCCUCCAGCUGACCGGUUUAAUAGCAAAGGAUAGUGGGAACUUCACCUGUGAGUGUUCACAUGCUCGUGGAACGGAUACUCUGCAUCUCAUCCUCACCGUUCUCCAUCUGAAAAUCACAGUGAAAGAAGAUGAAGACGCUAGCAGUUUAAGACAAAUGCCAAUUCACAGUGUUUUGAUUGGUGUAACAAUAGUCAUCAUUAUAACUGGAGUUAUUCUGGGAAUAAUCUACAGGACAAAAACUAACAGAAACUGUUCAAGGUCAGCAACAUCUGGAUUAUCUGUGUGUGAAUCUCCUGGCUCUCUGGUGAGUAAUGUAUUCUAAUGUUCUGUAUCUUUAAAGUAAGCAGCCAGUUUAAUGUUGGUAGUAAUAGAUCCAUCGAUAUACAUUUAUAUUUCUGAUCUUUAGUUGAUGAUCUAUUCCAGACUAACUACGUUUGUACAUACAUUUCCUGCUCAUUUUAAUGUUCAGUCUAACCACAACAACCUUCUUGGUUUCCACUGUGGGAGCAGUUUGUCUACUUCCUUUUGCAUGAGUGUGAAUGGAAAGGAAGUAAAGACUUUUAGAUUUAGGCCUUGAUGAUGAUUUUAUCUAAUCCAACCUCAAUGAUGCUCCUGAUUUGUAUGUGUGUAAAUACAAAGGGUGCAAAGAUAUUAAAGAUCAGUGUAUUUGAUUAAGGGCAGACAGUGUUUCAACCAUUGUUCAACAUUAUUAAGUCAGAUGCAUCAAGUUUUUUUUUUUUUUUUAUAGGACCAAGAUGACCCUGAUGACCUCUACACAAGCCUUCAGCAACCAGAAAGUGAUCUCUACCAAACUAUCUCAAAUCCAGCCAACAAAAUAGUGACUGUCCACUUGGAUAACCAGGAAAUAAACGGAGGAAAGACUGAUUCAAGUUACAAAAUAUAUGAAAACAUUUUAACCAAAGAAUCAAUAUGACAGAGCUGUGUAAUAUGUGGAUGUUCUUUACUUAUUGAGACUGUAGCUGCUGAUAGUUGCUGGCCUUCAGUUCUUUAACAUAUCCAAACUAAUUACAAUUUCCUGUAAUGUGAUGACAGUAACUGUUUUAUAGUUGAUAUACAGGAAAUAAACUCUCCUCAGCAGAAGAACAGGGCUCAGAGAAGAUGCUGUGUUUGGCCAGAAGGGUGUUUAAUACAUUGUGGUAUCAGUCAGAGUAUCUUACACAGAACAGCUUCUUAAUGUAAAAAUAAACACUGUGGCUUGUGUUUAAACUGGAUAAUGACUGCAUGCUGUUUCUUUAUCAGUUUUCUUGUCACAUUCUUUAAGAUGUUGUGUUAUUAUUGCAUGUGUCAUCUAUCAGAUAGGAUGAGUAUUCUCCAAUAACAGAUCAUAUUUAACCUCAACUCCUCCGAUUCCUUUAAGUUGUUGCUCUGUUUGGCCAGUUUGUUAAUUAAAGCUCUGUAUAAAACUAUUGUAGUGGUCGACAAGUGUAGAAAUGUAAUAAAAUAAAUAAAAUAUAGUGUCUUUUGAAGGACCAUUUUCAUUAUUUAACACAGAUAUCUAUAAUCUCACAAUAAUUUCCAGAUAAUGUCCUUAAAACUAUACAAAGAGAAGAGUUUGAGUCUUUUGGCCAUGAUUUGUACAACUUGGAUUAUCAGCG